UACGUAGGGUGCGAGCGUUAAUCGGAAUUACUGGGCGUAAAGCGCACGUAGGCGGAUUUGUUAGUCAGGGUGAAAUCCCGGGGCUCAACCUCGGAACUGCCUUGAUACUGCAAGUCUCGAGUCCGAUAGAGGUGGGUGGAAUUCCUAGUGUAGAGGUGAAAUUCGUAGAUAUAGGAAGACACCGGUGACGAAGGCGGCCCACUGGAUCGGUACUGACGCUGAGGUGCGAAAGCGUGGGGAGCAAACAGG
rnacentral:rRNA from 1 species